rfam:Peptococcaceae bacterium CEB3 CEB3_contig000063, whole genome shotgun sequence.
AUGUUAUCCGAUCUCCGAGCCAGAUAAGCCUAAUGAGUGAUCGACGGCUUCUGGCCAGGGCUUCGAGCCCUCGGGGUAUAUCCGGAAACGGGUAUGCCUUCACUUUUGGAAAAGGAGGUGGGCAGGCUGUCAG